rnacentral:lncRNA from 1 species
CAUGAAUGUUCCUCUUUAUUAAGGAAAACCUUACAGUGUUGGGUUUGAUGUUUUCAAGCUUUUUAAGGAGCUUGUUGAGGUCUGCAAAAGCUCCUGCUAAACCCUUCACUGAAAAUUUUCUUGGGAGUUCUCCUUUUUCUUCUCCUGCAGUUUUUUUCCCUUUGCCUCUUCUUCAGCUAUGCAUUCCUGUUCCAGUUCCAACAACUAUUCAUUAGUCAAUUCCUCAGGAAUCACCUCUAGGAGCUCCUCAAUGUCAUCCUCGUCCACACCCAGGUUAAAGUUGUUUGUCAUCUCAACCACACCUUGUUGAUUUCUACAACCUCCUCAUCCUUGGCAAAUCCUUUGAAGUCAUGGAUGAACCCCCUGAGUGUCUUCUUCCAGAUGCCAUUCAUACAUUCCUUAGUGACAUCACCGCAAGCCCAAGCAAGGUUUUUCAUGCAGCCGCAGAUGUUGUAAUCCUUCCAGAAUUGCAUCAGUGUCUUCUCAGUGUCUUCCUCAGUUGCAGCAUCGCUUGGGAGAAGGUCCUCCAAUGUAGUAGACCUUAAAAGCUGCUGUACCUCCUUGAUCCACUGGUUGGAUCAAAGAGGUGGUGUUUGAAGGGAGAAACACCACUUUGAUAUUGGGAUGAAGAUCACUAGUAAAAGGAGGAUGUCCAGGAACAUCAUCAACAGUUCUGGGGAUUGUGACAUGGACAUCUUUCAGGGGACAUUAUUCUGCACCAUACCCAAUGAAAAUAUCCUUCAGGAAUGAAGGGAAAAUCGAGACAUUCCCAAUGAAGGAAAACUAAGAGAAUUUGUCACCAGCAGACCUACCCUAAAUGAAUGGCUAAAGGAAGUUCUUUAAGAGGAAAGGAAAUGAUGAAAUAAAAACUCUUGGAACGUCAUGAAAGAAGAAGGAAUACAGUAAGCAAAAGUAUGGAUAAAUAUAAUAGGCUUGAGUUUUCCAAAAUAUGUUUGAUGGUUGAAGCAAAAUCAUACCACUGUUUGUGUUUUGGAAUAAGCAUUAGCUAAAAGCAUGAAACCUGGAUUUGAAUCACAG